rnacentral:rRNA from 1 species
AUUGAACGCUGGCGGCAGGCCUAACACAUGCAAGUCGAACGGUAGCACAGAGAGCUUGCUCUCGGGUGACGAGUGGCGGACGGGUGAGUAAUGUCUGGGAAACUGCCCGAUGGAGGGGGAUAACUACUGGAAACGGUAGCUAAUACCGCAUAACGUCUACGGACCAAAGUGGGGGACCUUCGGGCCUCACACCAUCGGAUGUGCCCAGAUGGGAUUAGCUAGUAGGUGGGGUAAUGGCCCACCUAGGCGACGAUCCCUAGCUGGUCUGAGAGGAUGACCAGCCACACUGGAACUGAGACACGGUCCAGACUCCUACGGGAGGCAGCAGUGGGGAAUAUUGCACAAUGGGCGCAAGCCUGAUGCAGCCAUGCCGCGUGUAUGAAGAAGGCCUUCGGGUUGUAAAGUACUUUCAGCGGGGAGGAAGGGUUGCUGGUUAAUAACCAGCGACAUUGACGUUACCCGCAGAAGAAGCACCGGCUAACUCCGUGCCAGCAGCCGCGGUAA